rnacentral:snRNA from 1 species
CCAGCACUAAUGCACCGGAUCCCA